rnacentral:rRNA from 1 species
AUUCCAGCUCUGUAAGCGUAUACCAAAGUUGUUGCAGUUAAAACGCUCGUAGUCGAACCUUGGCGUGAGUUACGGAGGCUCCUAAUGGACGUCGAAGUAACUCCGCCUUUGUGGAGGGGGGUGUGGUGUUACUUCAUUGUAUUGCCGCAUUUCCGCCACUGUUUACUGUGAAAAAAUUAGAGUGUUCAAAGCGAGCGUUUGCCAUGAAUACAUUAGCAUGGAAUAAUAGAAUAGGACCUGGUCCUGUUUUAUUGGUUUGUCAGUAUCAGGCAAUGAUUAACAGGGACGGUCGGGGGCAUUUGUAUUCCAGCGUUAGAGGUGAAAUUCUUGGAUCGCUGGAAGACAAACAGCUGCGAAAGCGUCUGCCAAGGACGUUUUCAUCA